CGCAUGGGAAACAAAAAUUUUCCUACGCACACGAAGACCUAUCAUGGUGAUGUCCAUCUACGAGAGGGGAUAUUCGAUCUACGUACCCUUGUAGAUCGCACAGCAGAAGCGUUAGUGAACGUGGUUGAUGUAGUGGAACGUCCUCACGUCCCUCGAUCCGCCCCGCGAACCGUCCCGCGAUCAGUCCCACGAUCUAGUGCCGAACGGAC
rnacentral:lncRNA from 1 species